CCUUUUGCCUGAUUCCAGGCUGAGGUAGUAGUUUGUACAGUUUGAGGGUCUAUGAUACCACCCGGUACAGGAGAUAACUGUACAGGCCACUGCCUUGCCGGGAACAG
ensembl:miRNA microRNA let-7g